rnacentral:rRNA from 1 species
AGGUUUGAUUCUGGCUCAGGACGAACGCUGGCGGCGUGCCUAAUACAUGCAAGUCGAGCGAAUCAAUGGGNGCUUGCUCCCAAAGAUUAGCGGCGGACGGGUGAGUAACACGUGGGUAACCUGCCUGUAAGAUUGGGAUAACUCCGGGAAACCGGAGCUAAUACCGGAUAACAUUUCGAACCGCAUGGUUCGAAAUUGAAAGAUGGCGUCUAGCUAUCACUUACAGAUGGACCCGCGGCGCAUUAGCUAGUUGGUGAGGUAACGGCUCNCCAAGGCAACGAUGCGUAGCCGACCUGAGAGGGUGAUCGGCCACACUGGGACUGAGACACGGCCCAGACUCCUACGGGAGGCAGCAGUAGGGAAUCUUCCGCAAUGGACGAAAGUCUGACGGAGCAACGCCGCGUGAACGAUGAAGGCCUUCGGGUCGUAAAGUUCUGUUGUUAGGGAAGAACAAGUACCAGAGUAACUGCUGGUACCUUGACGGUACCUAACCAGAAAGCCACGGCUAACUACGUGCCAGCAGCCGCGGUAAUACGUAGGUGGCAAGCGUUGUCCGGAAUUAUUGGGCGUAAAGCGUACGCAGGCGGUUUCUUAAGUCUGAUGUGAAAGCCCACGGCUCAACCGUGGAGGGUCAUUGGAAACUGGGGAACUUGAGUACAGAAGAGGAGAGUGGAAUUCCACGUGUAGCGGUGAAAUGCGUAGAGAUGUGGGAGGAACACCAAGUGGCGAANGCGACUCUCUGGGUCUGUAACU